AUUGAACGCUGGCGGCAUGCUUUACACAUGCAAGUCGAACGGUAACAGCACUUCGGUGGCUGACGAGUGGCGAACGGGUGAGUAAUACAUCGGAACGUGCCUAGUAGUGGGGGAUAACUACUCGAAAGAGUAGCUAAUACCGCAUGAGAUCUAAGGAUGAAAGCAGGGGACCUUCGGGCCUUGCGCUACUAGAGCGGCUGAUGGCAGAUUAGGUAGUUGGUGGGAUAAAAGCUUACCAAGCCGACGAGCUGUAGCUGGUCUGAGAGGACGACCAGCCACACUGGGACUGAGACACGGCCCAGACUCCUACGGGAGGCAGCAGUGGGGAAUUUUGGACAAUGGGCGCAAGCCUGAUCCAGCAAUGCCGCGUGCAGGAUGAAGGCCUUCGGGUUGUAAACUGCUUUUGUACGGAACGAAAAGCCCUCUUCUAAUACAGGAGGGUCAUGACGGUACCGUAAGAAUAAGCACCGGCUAACUACGUG
rnacentral:rRNA from 1 species